rnacentral:tRNA from 1 species
GGGCCCUUAGCUCAGCCGGUAGAGCAACUGACUUUUAAUCAGUAGGUCGUUGGUUCGAACCCAACAGGGCUCACCA